ACACAAUUUAAUUUCUUCGAGCCCACGUUUUAAUUAUUCGUGGGUGCGUUUUAGUAGAUCGAGAUCUCGAAUAUACUAUUGUGACAAAGGGUCUGACAUGAGUGCCAGAUUGACAUUUAGUAAUAAUAGAAUCAGCCAAUCAGAGAGCGCCUCCUCCCGUGCACGCAUGUGAAUGAAGCGUGUACAGUAAUAUUCCAGAAAGUUUGGGGAGAGGUCGCCAUGUUUCACUGUUUAAUCCACAUGCUUAGUUUGUAGUUAUUUCAUGCAUCUUGUGUCUUGUGUGCGUCCAGAACUUGUGAUAUAGAUGCUGGCCGAGAGUGUCUCCUGAAGGGACUUCUACACGGGGGAAGAUCCAGAAAACCUUGUGCAGGAACAUGUGGUUGAGUCCUAUGAUCUCUGGAAGGUGGCUGAACAUUUGGAAUCCAUUUUCAGAAAACCACCAAAGCGUAUCCAUGCAAAUGUUAGUGGCAGUGUGACGGAGUACCAUCACUACAGUUGAGUAUGCGCUCUGACUGCCAUACCAACGGGCCUGGCUCUUUAGUGUUGCGGUCAAACUGCAGGUUUAGUCCCCCAGAGACCCAGAUUCAAGACUAUGUGGGGUCACUGCUCUCUCCCUUCACUACAUAUGGUGUCAGAAGUGGGAUGACUUGCCGUGAGGUCAUCAGAAGCUUGCUCAAUGUGUGAGCUGUAUGAGGGACCCCUAUGAUAGGUUGUCCCCGGUGUGAGGGACCCCUAUGAUAGGUUGUCCCCGGUGUGAGGGACCCCUAUGAUAGGUUGUCCCCGGUGUGAGGGACCCCUAUGAUAGGUUGUCCCCGGUGUGAGGGACCCCUAUGAUAGGUUGUCCCCGGUGUGAGGGACCCCUAUGAUAGGUUGUCCCCGGUGUGAGGGACCCCUAUGAUAGGUUGUCCCCGGUGUGAGGGACCCCUGAGAUGGGUGAAGCAUGUGUGAGUUUGCUUUUAUGUGAAACAUUCGAGGUCUAGUAGUGUAGUGAAAAAUAGGUUACAUUUGUUGAAACAAAUGUAACAAAUGUUUCAAUGUGUUACUAUACCGCAAAUGUUACUAACAAUUUAAAUUUCACAACUUGACCUAUAAGAAUAUGAAUUGAAGUGCUGACAAAAAGCAUGUUCGGCCUGGUAAUUGGCCGUGGUCCUGGCAUGCCUAUAGCGGAGGACAGUGGGGAGGAGACAAUGGAGGAGGUGGGAUGUUUUGCAAUGCCAUAAUGCAUGAUGCUGUCACAGCCAUGCCAGGUUCCCCAGUAGCCACACCCAGUCACUCACCUUAAGACUCAACUAAUCCCUCAGCCACGCCCAUCAAUCAGUCUCAGCCACGCCCAUCAAUCAGUACCUCACAGCUCAUGUCUCCUGUUCACUUUCCCCUGAGUACUGAAUUCCCUUCACCUGUGUUGCUCUGGACUCUAUUUUUAGCCCUAUUUUUACCCCACUUCCCCAGUACUCGGUGUCUGGUCUCAUCAGUGUAUGACACAAGAACUCUGUGCUCCUGAAUUCCCACGUUUACGCCAGUUACUGUCGGGAAACUCCAGUUACGUUUAUUCAUCUGUUUGGACUACCUUGUGACUUGAACUCUUUUAUGCUGUUUCCUGUUGUUUCCCAUGGGGCUCAGAGGGCAGCUGACCCUCUGGACUCAUCCUCACAGCCUCUACUAACAUCAAGACCAGUGAGUUCAGUCUUACUGGACGCUACCUCCACUGAGAAUGCAACAGGAGACAAUGUUGCCGCCACCUUGUUCCACAGGAUGGCCUUGUCUUAGAAUUGCGGGCUGUGCCUUUAACAAGGACUGGCAACUGUUCUAGAGCUUUGGGGUGUAAACUUAGAAUUAUUCGAUUUAAAAGAGACUGAGAGUUGUGACUUGAGUCUUCUAAGGUUAAGGCAAAGAUUAGGUAUGCAAAACACUAGAGAUAGGCCUAGGCCACAUGACAAAAUGACAAGUCAAGGUAAUGACAUGUGACUUAUUUACCUUAAGACAGUAGCGUACCAAAUAGACAUGAACAGAAAAAAGAUCUGAAUUCUGAAAAAGCUUUGAAUCUCAUUUGGCAUGAUACCACCUUAAUACAUUAUAUUACCUAAGAAACUAUCACAUACUGUAACCUAAGAAAAGAAAUACACACAGAGCAGCAACAGAGCCUGACCAAAACAUUGAGCAAUCUUUAUUUAUUCUCUAAAAUAAAUCAACAUGCAAAAUUAAUUGAAGUAUGUUUUAGUCCCUUGUCAUUUGCCUUAUGCAUUAUAGGCAAAUCAGAGGUUUAGUCUGAAUGAGAACAUACUUACUUACUACCUUACUACCAGGU